CACGUUGGCGUGAAGCAGGCAGGUUUGACAACGCCAGACCCCUGCUGUCCGGCUCGUCGCGCUGACCCUGCCAACGCAACAAACGCCCAGACCUUCUCUGCACUACGGAUGAGCAGUGUGGCCCGCUCUCGUUCUGCCCUUCCCUGGAAAUGCGCGCAAGAAGGGAGGUGGCAAAAAUCACGUCCACCGGGGGGCUCAGAGAUGGUGUCCCAUGAUGUUUCCCAGGCUGGUGUCAAACUCCUGGGCUCAUGUGAUCCUCCUGUUCUGGCCUCCCAAAGUGCUGAGAUUAUAGACAUGAACUACUGUAACCAGCCUAAACCAGUAUUUUAAAAAACAGCUGCAGUAUGGAAAAUGGAUUGGAGACAGGUGGCAAGACUGGAGACAUGAUAUGAGAAUAAUCAGGAGACCUUUGCAAUGGUAUAGAGACAGAGUCUUGCUUUGUUGUCCAGGCUGGUCUUGAACUCCUGAGCUCAAGUGAUCCUCCCGCCUUGGCCUCCCAAAGCGCUGAGACUACAGAGAGAGAAUGCUAAUGAGCUGUGAAAUGACCAAAGAUCUGGCAGCAGAAGGGAAAAGAAAAAAUAAUGGGAACAAGAGGAUUUAUCUGACUCAACUGGAGAUGGCUCCCUUCCCUAAUUUAUUGUUGCAUCCUGAAGCUUCCCCCAUGCUGGGCUCAGUGUGAACAAACAGCGCGGGAGAAUGCAACCACUGCAGAGGUACAAGUUCACAGAGGCAGAGCCGCCCCUCGACUGGGCCAGAGGCAAAGACAUACCCCAACCUCUUUCUUGUCAUUCAUUGAAUUUUGCUGAACCUGGAAAGGAAAUAAAUUCCAAAGGCAGGAAGUGACCCAGAGACCAUAACAAUAUGUGAAAAGCUUAGCCGGUGCUUCCGCCCCUUUGUUUCAAACUAUUCUAAUCUGUGUCCCAGGAAGCCUAGCCCAUGGCCAGAUGGAGAUCUGUUUUCAGAUGCCUCCUGGCAUCUGCCACUCCCGGCUGGUGACAUUUGCACAUUUCAGAAGGCAAACCUGUCCCAACAUCUUCAAACUUCCAGAGAGGUGUAGCACCAGGAAAGUCCUUGGGUCUCUGGCUGACAGCACCAACCAGCUGAUUUGCUUCAUCUGCAGCUGAACUGCUGCUGGACUCCAGCCUAGAACACUAGUGCACACCAGGUCUGUUCUUGAAGAUUUGCAGAUUCUGAAAUCAAAAUGCCCUGUGUUGCCAGAAAAGGCUGGCUCCCUUGCCUGCUUCAUAAUCCCUUCUCACCAGGCUUUCCUAAAGAAACUCAAUGAGUCAGGAAGGAAGAAAACAUGUCUGAGGGAGAUCUGGAGGUGGGCUGUUCUCUCUCAUUGCUUCUGAAAAUUCCCUUCUGUUUUGCAAUGUGGGUAAUGUUUGGGGAUUUGCUUUUACUUUUUCUCUGUUUCUUCCUCUGUCAGCUCUCACUUUGAGAGACCCUUCAUUUACCACUCAUGAAAUUAGCUCUGCAAUCGCAGGAGGCUCUCUGAUGGGGAAUUAGUCACUGUUGCAAAAAAGUUUAGACUUUACUUUCAUCCCCAGGAGCAGGGCAAGAAAUUGUUCCCGCCCUGCUCUCAGAAGGAACCAUCACUCAACUGCUCUGCUCUGCUCUGGCUCUGGGGCCUGUGGUUUUCCUAGGCUUUUAAUUUUUACUGCGUACCUUCCAUCAGCCUUCUUACUGAAGGCUGUAUGCCAGCUGACAUCUAUGCACAGCGAGAUGGCUUCUGGGACAUCUGCUUCAAACAGUAUCCAGCUAACUGCUCCCCACCAAACCCCACCAGGCAUAUGUUUGAGAUGCCUGGCCACUGGAGGUCAUCUCAUCUACUAUGUUCACCACAGAUAAAGAAUGAAAAGAGAAUACACAACCUUGUGAUUGCUAGCAGUGAAAGCUCAGAGUUAUGACAUAACAAGUGGUUGAUCAUACUGUAAAACUCAAAUGUGAAGGGAAGGCUGGAACCUACUGGAAACUGAAGAUCUAACGAAAAGAAGGAACUUUUAGGAACUAGCAGAGACUUCAAAAUGUUGAGAACUCUCUUUUUUCAUAAGAGAAGAUAAAAACUCCGAUGGUCACACUCAUAAAGACAAAAAACAAAUAAAAAACAAACAAAAACUCAGAAUCACAAGAGCAAAGAAAAUGUAGGCAAAACAAUAACAGAAGAGGUAAAGAAAUUUAUGUGAAUUGGGACACUCUGGGGCACAGAACAGGAGAAGAAACAUGAAAGUAAUGCUCUGCACAAGGAUGUCUGAGUGUCCUUGAUUCCAAGGGCAUUUAAAAUUAGCCACUGGAUGAGAACCAUGAAAUGCCAUGACUCUUACAGCUCCCAUGAAAGACAUUGGAUGGAACUUAUCCUAACUGGACCAAAUUCUAAAAAAUUUUACAUGAUAUUAUAAUGAGUUGAAAGUUGAAAAAAAAAAGCUCUUCUAGAUUACCAAGAAUAAAACACAAAUUUCUAGCUGACUGAAUUAAUUCUCAUCUCUCUAUAGAAAGAUCAUAGAAAUUUUUUUUAUCAUGCAAAGAAAUAGCUAAAAAUUUACAAAAAUAUAGACGUGUGUUACGCAGCUCAUGAGUAAAUGCAUUUUUUCCUUUUUUCCUCCAGAAUUUUGUGAUGUUUAUGGUACUUUUCGGCUUUUAAAAUUUUGUAUUUAAUCAGGAUUUAUUACUUCAUUGUAAGUAAAUAUUAAAUUUAUACUCCAUCUUUGUUUGUAAUUUUGUAUAUUUUUCAGUAAAAAGGACUCCCCAGAUUAUGUAAGCUUUAGGCCCCACAAAAUCUAGGCCUGUUGCUGUAUCCUUUCUAGAGCAGUGUUUCUCAAACUUCAGUGUGCUUUUGAAUCUCCUGGGGCUCCUGUUAAAAUAUAGCUUCUGAGAUGAUGCAUUUCUAACAGACUCCCAGGGCUGACACUGCCCAUCUGGGGACCACACUUUGAGAAUCAAAUAUCUAGAACAAUGGUUCUUACCUGGCUGUGCAUUGGGAUCAUUUAUAGUGCUUUUGGAAAAUACAUUGUGUCCAGGUCCCAGCCAGUUCUCAGUAGGCUUGGAAUGGGGUCCCACACUUUUUUUUUUUAGCUCCACAGUUUGGGAAAGAAGCCUUUCUCAUAUAUUGUUGGUGGGAGUACAAAUUGAUACAGCCAUUUUUGAGCUUGAUUUGGCAAUAUCUUCCUUGGAGAAAUCAAAAGCCAGUUGGCAAGCCAGUCUGGAAAAGGCAGUUUACUGAUUCCCACUGAAGGGUCACAAACCAGGUAUAGAAGGAUGGGCUUUGGCUGAAAUAUAUGAUGGGUACAGGUAUAUUCUCUAUAAUCCAGUAUUUCCACUUCUAAAAAUGUAUCCUAGUAACAUUAUACAUAUCAAGCCUACAUAUAAAGUUGUUCCAUUCCAUAUUAUUUGUAGUAGGGGAAAACUGAAAGCAGUCUACAUGCCCAUCAAUAGAUUAUUCAAAUUAUGGAACAGUUUUCCAAUGACAAAACAAUAGCUAAUCUUAGUUAAGCAAUUAUUAUGUUACGUAAGGUAGACAUUGUUCUACCUUAUUUAUAAGUAUUAAGUUAGUUUUUAUGACUAUCAUAUUUCCAUUUUACAAAUGACAUAAUUUAUAUUAUUGACAUGGGAAGAUGUCCAAGGAUAUAAUAAGCAAAAAGCAAGUAGCAGAACAUUAUGUAUAUUAUGCAUUCCCAUUAUAAUAUACUAAAAAGUAAUGCACUUGAUUCUGAUGCACACUCCCCAGUAGGUAACAACUGAUCUAGUGUAAAAAUGAAAGAACAUUCUGGGCCUGGCGCGGUGGCUCACGCCUGUAAUCCCAGCACUUUGGGAGGCCCAGGCGGGCGGAUCACAAGGUCAGGAGAUCGAGACCAUCCUGGCUAACAUGGUGAAACCCCGUCUCUACUAAAAAUACAAAAAAAAAAAAUUAGCUGGGCGUGGUGGCGGGCGCCUGUAGUCCCAGCUACUCGGGAGGCUGAGGCAGGAGAAUGGCGUGAACCCGGGAGGGGCGGAGCUUGCAGUGAGCGGAGAUAGCGCCAUUGCACUCCAGCCUGGGCGACAGAGCAAGACUCUGCCUCAACAAAAAAAAAAAAAAAAAAAAAAAAGAACAUUCUGUUACCUCAAACAAGCUGUUCUCAUGCAAUUUAGUUAACUGGUAGCACUUUCAGAAGAAGACAAAGUAAAAAUGGUUAGGUCAAUUUGGUGGUGUAGAGUAUUCUAUCGAUCAGUGGUCAAAAGAGUAGUCAUUCUGAGUGAUCUCUAACAUUAGGGUUGAUGGAAGAGAUGACCCAUAGAUGUCCCUACAUCUCAUUUCUCUUAGGACACACACUUGGGAGAAAUCGUCCAGUGCACUUUGUCCAGGCCUUUCACUUGUACCAACUACUUUGCAUUAUGCUGUUUUCACUUUAGUGGUUCUGCCUUCUAGUCCACAGAAAAGUUUUUCCUUAAAGUAUUUUUUUCCCCAACACUUUAUUAUGGGAAUUUUCAAACACACAGAAAAGAUAAAAGAAAUUUACAGAGAAUACUCGUGUCUCUAUCAGCUAGAUUCUACAGUUAACAUUUUACUAUACUAGUUUUAUUGCAUAUCUAUUUAUCUCCCUGUGCAUCCAUGGAUCCAAUUCGUCAUUAGGAUGCAUUUCAAAGCAAGUUGCUGACGUCAGUACACUUCCCCCUCAAUACUUUAGUAUGUGGAUCAAUAACCCUAGCUUAAGAUUUGUUGAUUGUUUUUCUUUCCUUUUGAAGUAAAAUUAACACACAAGGAAAUGCACACAUCUUAAGUGGACCAUUUGAUGAGUUUUGAGUAAUGCCUACAUUGUGUAACUCAAACCUCUAUCAAGAAAGAAUAUUACCAUACCUGAGAGUAUCCUCAUGCUCCUCCCCUGGGGUACUCCCUGCCUCUCCACACCAAUCCCCCCAGGUAACAACUGUUCUGAUAUCCCCCUCACCAUAUAUACCUGCUCUAGAACAUCAUAUAAAUGGAAUGAUACAAUAUGUCUUUUGUAUAAGCUUUAUUCCACUCAGCAUAAUGUUUUUGCCAUUCACCCAUAUUAUUGAUCAUAUUAGUACCUUGCUCCUUCUUAUUACUGAGUAGUAUUAGAUUGUAUAAACAUAGUGUAGUCUAUUUUCCUAUUUUGAUGGAUAUGUGGGCUUGUUCUGAUUUUUGCUUAUUAUGAAUAAAACUUCUGAGUAUUCUUGUACAAGUAUUUUUUGGACAUACAUUUUCAUUUCUCUUGGCAAAAUACCUAGGAAUGGAAUUGCUGGGUCAUAGGGUAUACUUUUAGUUUUGUAAGAAGCUGUCAGAUCUCUUCCCAAAGUGGUUGUAACAUUUUACACUCCUACUAACAGUGCAUGGGAAGCCAGUUUCUCUAUAUCCUCUCCAACAUUUGGUGCUGUCAAUCUUUUAAAAUUUUAGCCAUUUUUGUGGUUGUAUAGUGUUAUCUCAUUGCAGUUUUAAUUUGCAGAUCCCUGAAUGUGUGUAGGUGUGUAUAUGUAUUAUAUAAUAUAUAUAUUAUUGUUUCAUUUAUUUUGAAGUAAUUUCAAAGUUUCCAGAAUAAUGUCAAGAACUCCUGUACUCCCUUCACCAGAUUCUCCAAUUGUAACGUUUUAUUGCGUUUGCUCCAUUGCCCAUUCUCUCUCUACUUAUAGCUGCAUUAGUGCUUUUCUGAACCUUUAGAGAUGAAGGUGAAAAAAGAUGCGAUAUCACCACCCUCCCGUUCUAGUAUGCAUUUUCCCCAAAUAAAGACAUUUUCCUACAGAAUCAGCAUAUGAUCCUUCAUAUCAGGUUAUCAACAGUGGUAUAAUACUGUCCAGUCCACAGACCCCAUUUGCCAAUGAGCCCCCAAAUCUCUGUUUUUUCUUUGUGUUCCAGGAUAUUACCCAUGAGCCUGUGUUUCAUGUAAUUGUCAUGUUUCUUCGGAUUCCUUCAAACUGCUACAGCUUCUGUGUCUAUCCCUGUCUUCUAUGUGCUUGACAGCUUUGAAGAGUACAGGUCCUUCAUUCAGUAGAAUGACCUCCAAGCCGGGUCCACCAGAUGUUUCAUCAUGGUUUUAGUGAGGUUAUAAAUUCUGGGCAGUAAUUCUACAGAAGUGCUGCUUUGUUUUUCUCAGUGCCUCACACCCAGUGGCACAUGUCAUCACCACUGGUGAUGCUAACCUCGAUUGCUUGACCACAUUGUCUGCCAGCUCCCUCCUUAAAUUCAACAUUUUGCCUUUUGCAAUUUAUUUGUGUUUUGUGGGAACAUAUUUUCAUUUCUGAAAUUAGUCUAUAUCCUGUUCCUUAUCAAACUUCCAACUCUGGUCUUAGCAUCCAUUGACUGAAUCAACUGCCUUUUUGUAAGUUUCCACAUGAUGAGUGUCUAUUUCCAUCAUUGGUUCUAUUUUUAUGAACUGGUAUUUUACUAUAAGAAAUAGCAUAUUAUUUUCUAUGCUUAAACCACUGCAAGUUUGACCCUUUCAAGCUGGUUUUUGUGUCCUUUUGACAUAUCCCCAUUGUUCAUUGAGCAUUUCCUUAUUUUCUGGCAUAAGAAGAUGUUCCAAGUGUAACUUGUAUAUUACCUGUUUCAGCCCUGGAAUCAGACAUUUUCCUAAGGAUCCUUGGUUUCUUUGAAUAAAGGAUACUAUUUAGAAGCCAAGAUCUGGUUAAUCAGUAUGUUAAUUGCUACUGGGGUAUCAUUGCUUUAGGCCAAUUCAGUGGACAGAGCUAGGAAAAAUACACAUUUUUCACGUCUGUCUAGCUACAUAUGUAUGUAUUUAUACAUCUAUAUGAUUUUGAUAUCAAUCUCUAUGUAUGUUAUAUAUACAUAUAAUAAAAGCCUAAGUCCAUACUAAUACCCCUGUUUCAAUCCAGCCCCUCAGGAUUAUUUUCUAGAUUUCCCCCUUUUGGUAUUUAUAAAUACCUACUUCAGUAAUGAGGGUUUGGCUCCUAUUAUCUUCAAUAUAGUUACUUAUUUACUUAAUCUCCCAACUACAUUGCUGUCUCUUCUGCCCACCACCUCCACAUCUUAUCUCCUUCCUGACCUAGGUCUCACUGGCUCCUGCCCUGCAUCCUUGGUUUUUGGGCUGCCUGUCCAUGCCUCUUCACAGCUCUCUAACCCCCUCCCCUCCUUGUGAUUUUAGCUACUGUGCUGACUUUUCCACACUGGGAAGGAAAAUGAAGGGACAAUGUAGCAGGUUUCAGUGGUCAAACAAACAAACAAAAAAUUGAACAAACCCAACCCUUCUUUUCCAUUUGCAGUAGUUCUAUUUCCCAGCUCUCAUUCUUGAAUUUUUUUACAAAGAAAAGCACUCAGUCUUUUAAAAAAAUGAAAAAAAAAAUGGGAAAGAUCAAGUGUAGCGAGUUACAAUUUUAUUUAAGAUCCCCAAUAAAAAGGCUUUUUAAAAAGGUUAUCAGAAUUAUAACCUGUUCCUGCUGUGCAAUCAGCUCAACCCCAUCACAACUC